rnacentral:rRNA from 1 species
CAUACCUAUACGUUGCCUCGGCGGAUCAGCCCGCGCCCCGUAAAAAGGGACGGCCCGCCCGAGGACCCCUAAACUCUGUUUUUAGUGGAACUUCUGAGUAAAACAAACAAAUAAAUCAAAACUUUCAACAACGGAUCUCUUGGUUCUGGCAUCGAUGAAGAACGCAGCAAAAUGCGAUAAGUAAUGUGAAUUGCAGAAUUCAGUGAAUCAUCGAAUCUUUGAACGCACAUUGCGCCCGCCAGUAUUCUGGCGGGCAUGCCUGUUCGAGCGUCAUUUCAACCCUCAAGCUCAGCUUGGUGUUGGGACUCGCGGUAACCCGCGUUCCCCAAAUCGAUUGGCGGUCACGUCGAGCUUCCAUAGCGUAGUAAUCAUACACCUCGUUACUGGUAAUCGUCGCGGCCACGCCGUAAAACCCCAACUUCUGAAUGUUGACCUCGGAUCAGGUAGGAAUACCCGCUGAACUUAAGCAUAUCAAUAAGCGGAGGAA